UACAGAGGUCUCAAGCGUUGUUCGGAUUCAUUGGGCGUAAAGGGUGCGUAGGUGGCGUCGUAAGUCGGGUGUGAAAUUUCGGAGCUUAACUCCGAAACUGCAUUCGAUACUGCGGUGCUUGAGGACUGGAGAGGAGACUGGAAUUUACGGUGUAGCAGUGAAAUGCGUAGAGAUCGUAAGGAAGACCAGUGGCGAAGGCGAGUUUCUGGACGGUAACUGACGCUGAGGCACGAAGGCCAGGGGAGCAAACGGG
rnacentral:rRNA from 1 species